GCUCUCUUGGAGAAAGGCAGCACAGCUGGGAGGGCUCACAACAGGAGGCCUGUUGAAAACAAGUCGUGGUUUCACCCUGUGUUUUGAUUUCUGUUCAGGGAAGGGCACUUCCUCUUGCAUUUGUAGGAGCCAAGUAACACAUUCUGGGUGGAGGGAACUAUGGUAGAAAGCCUAGUGUUGGACACAUGAAAAGGUGGCAGCAUCUUAGAACUGGCUAAACACAUAUCUUGGCAUAAGAACUUGGGUGGCAGGCAACCAAGAUUUGGGGAGUGCUUUUCCUGCAUCAUUUUCUGCUGGGAUUGCAAUAUGAGGGAGGCCUUGUUGAUGGGUGUAGUUUGUUAUGGUUGGCAAUACCUUCUGGUUAGUAGUGGUUGAGUGCUUGCUAACUUGUGAAUUCUUCAGAAGAGAGUAGAAUAUAAAAAGCCUUCAAGCCUCUCCUGUCUCCCCCGCAAUGCGGCUAACGCAGGGCAACCGGCAGCAGUGAGCUGUGGAUCCAGGCACUGGCUAGAGAAGUUGACAGACCACGAACACGGGGCAAGCUGAGUCUUUCUGUUUCACUUCCGGCAUGUUUUUCACCCACAGGGAUAUUUUGGUCUGUUUCAAAGAAGAGGAAAUCAGCCCCUAGCAGAGUGUUUCAGAAAAGCAGCAGAAGAAAAGAAAAAAGAUUAAAGCCAUAUCUCUUGGGGAGAGAGAUAAAAAUCUGGAUUUUGUUUGAAACAAUGUUUCCAUUUCCAACACCUCAGGUCCAUAAAAAGUAGGAGAAAAAAAGUCUUCUUGGGGUUUCAGCAUGCACAGUGCAUUUAUUCUCUCUCUCAUUUCUUAAUUUGUCAGUUUCUUUCGCCAAGUACCAAAUCCAGUAAAUGUUCUUUAAAUGGAAAGAAAAAAGCAAUAAUGAAUGCCAGAAAAGUUUCCCAACCAGCCGGCCAAACCACAAGUAUCCAAAAAUGUGAUUUCAUUUUUAAUAAUACAGAAAACUGAGGAAUAUCAAGUAGAAAUAUAAAGAGAGGAAAAACAUUGACUUAUUCUAAACACCAAUAAAAAGGAUUUCCAACUUCAGAAUGUUUGUAGAAGACAUGAAGAGAAAUAGCUAGUCAAUGAAGGAAUUCAGAACCCGGUGUUCACAAAAUUAAGAAGAUACUAGUGAUCAAUGAACUCUAAACACUCAUAUGGGUUUGCCUUCUCUGAAUCCUUUGAAAUUCACUCUCUAUUCGGUGUCCAAAUUUCCUGUAUAUGUAAAAUGGAGCCAAGGAGCCCACAUUGUGAACAGAGAAAGUAAAGAUCGUGUAGGAUGAAGACAUUCGUGUUGUAACCUGUGUCUUUUAUGCCAACUCUUAGAAUUUAAGGAGCAGCUGGGGAGGCCAGCAGGCUGACUUAAGCCCACAAAGGAUGGCCUCUGAUCCCUGAAACUGGGGGAAGAAGCAAGAUAAUUCUUAACUACUCAGGUGACAUCUCUUCCAAGAAGUUUUCUCUAACUUACUCCCUAGCCCAGGAGGGAAGGCUUAGACCCCUCAUCUGUUUUCCCGGAACACCUGGGCAUAGCUCUUAUUGCAUCCAAACGGUUCUUAUAAUGCAAUGCAACACAAUACACAGUAUCUAUAUGUCUCCCUUGUUAGACCAUGGAGUCUAGAGCAGGGAUAUCUUUACUUCUCUGGUGCCAGGUAUAGUGGCUGGAACAUCAAUUACCUAAUUGACAUGAAUGCUUUCUUUCUUUGUAUCCAAAUAACUCAGGGCAUUUUAGUUGUUUUAUCCUAUGGUUAUAUCAUUCUUACCAUGUUUUAGUACCGGCAAAUAGAAUUCAUUAUUUCCCAGGAUAUAUCAGUUAAUAAUUUCAUAAACAGAGAAACUAACUACAUCUGGAGCAGUGCUUCCCAAACUUUACUGUGCAUGCAAAUCACCUGUGGAUCUUGCUACAAAGCCGAUCGUCACUCAUUUGGCCUGGGAAGGGGCCUGAGAAGCUGCCUUUCUAACAAGCUCCCAAGUGCUGCCAAUGCUCUUGGUCCAUAAAGUAAGAGUGGCUUGAGCCAGAUAGAGUUUAAUUUUGUUUCCUGAAAGUUAAGUCCAGAGAUUAGCAGUCCAGAGCUUGUUUGGCAGUUCUGCCACAUCAUCAUCAGCCCAGGCUCUUCUAUCUUUCUGCUUUACUAUCCUAGGUUCUGUUUACCCCAAGGUCUCCCCUUGUCCCAAGAUAGCAGCUGCUACUCUAGCCAUCACACCUAUAUUGUAGUCAGUAGAGAGGAGGACACACCAGGGCAAAUGGCUGACAGCUGGGUCAGCCCCUUCUAAAGGAGUUGUCAGGAGGAGCCCAUCUGACAACUUUCACUCCUAUCUCACUGGCC
rnacentral:lncRNA from 1 species